rnacentral:rRNA from 1 species
AUACCGGAUAAUAUUUUGAACCGCAUGGUUCAAAAGUGAAAGACGGUCUUGCUGUCACUUAUAGAUGGAUCCGCGCUGCAUUAGCUAGUUGGUAAGGUAACGGCUUACCAAGGCAACGAUGCAUAGCCGACCUGAGAGGGUGAUCGGCCACACUGGAACUGAGACACGGUCCAGACUCCUACGGGAGGCAGCAGUAGGGAAUCUUCCGCAAUGGGCGAAAGCCUGACGGAGCAACGCCGCGUGAGUGAUGAAGGUCUUCGGAUCGUAAAACUCUGUUAUUAGGGAAGAACAUAUGUGUAAGUAACUGUGCACAUCUUGACGGUACCUAAUCAGAAAGCCACGGCUAACUACGUGCCAGCAGCCGCGGUAAUACGUAGGUGGCAAGCGUUAUCCGGAAUUAUUGGGCGUAAAGCGCGCGUAGGCGGUUUUUUAAGUCUGAUGUGAAAGCCCACGGCUCAACCGUGGAGGGUCAUUGGAAACUGGAAAACUUGAGUGCAGAAGAGGAAAGUGGAAUUCCAUGUGUAGCGGUGAAAUGCGCAGAGAUAUGGAG